rnacentral:rRNA from 1 species
UACGAAGGGGGCUAGCGUUGCUCGGAAUCACUGGGCGUAAAGGGUGCGUAGGCGGAUCUUUAAGUCAGGGGUGAAAUCCUGGAGCUCAACUCCAGAACUGCCUUUGAUACUGAGGGUCUCGAGUUCGGGAGAGGUGAGUGGAACUGCGAGUGUAGAGGUGAAAUUCGUAGAUAUUCGCAAGAACACCAGUGGCGAAGGCGGCUCACUGGCCCGGUACUGACGCUGAGGUGCGAAAGCGUGGGGAGCAAACAGG